UGUCCAGGGAUGGGAAUCGAACCCACAGUGUUCCGCUUACCGGGCAGAUGCUAUGUCCACUAGGCCACUGGGU
rnacentral:tRNA from 1 species